rnacentral:rRNA from 1 species
GAGCGCGAAAGGGGGGCAACUCCCAAGUAGAGCGGCGAACGGGUGAGUAACGCGUGGGUAAUCUACCUCCAAGUGGGGAAUAACACCGGGAAACUGGUGCUAAUACCGCAUAACAUCUUUGGGUCGCAAGAUCUGGAGAUCAAAGCUGGGGACCGUAAGGCCUAGCGCAGGGAGAGGAGCCCGCGUCCGAUUAGCUAGUUGGCGGGGUAAUGGCCCACCAAGGCAACGAUCGGUAGCCGGCCUGAGAGGGCGGACGGCCACACUGGGACUGAGACACGGCCCAGACUCCUACGGGAGGCAGCAGUGGGGAAUUUUUCGCAAUGGGGGCAGCCCUGACGAAGCAACGCCGCGUGGAGGAUGAAGGCCUUCGGGUUGUAAACUCCUGUCGACCGGGACGAAAGUAGUCUGACCUAACACGUCAGGCUAUCGACUGUACCGGUGGAGGAAGCCACGGCUAACUCUGUG